GGGUAACAGGGUAACCACCCUUCGGAUGCUGACGAGUGUCGAACGGAGAAGAAGUAAUACAUCGGAACGUGCCUAGUAGUGGGGGAUAACUACUCGAAAGAGUGGCUAAUACCGCAUGAGAUCUACGGAUGAAAGCAGGGGAUCGCAAGACCUUGUGCUACUAGAGCGGCCGAUGGCAGAUUAGGUAGUUGGUGGGAUAAAAGCUUACCAAGCCGACGAUCUGUAGCUGGUCUGAGAGGACGAUCAGCCACACUGGGACUGAGACACGGCCCAGACUCCUACGGGAGGCAGCAGUGGGGAAUUUUGGACAAUGGGCGCAAGCCUGAUCCAGCAAUGCCGCGUGCAGGAUGAAGGCCUUCGGGUUGUAAACUGCUUUUGUACGGAACGAAAAGCCCUGGGUUAAUACCCUGGGGUCAUGACGGUACCGUAAGAAUAAGCACCGGCUAACUACGUGCCAGCAGCCGCGGUAAUACGUAGGGUGCGAGCGUUAAUCGGAAUUACUGGGCGUAAAGCGUGCGCAGGCGGUUUUGUAAGACAGAGGUGAAAUCCCCGGGCUCAACCUGGGAACUGCCUUUGUGACUGCAAGGCUAGAGUACGGCAGAGGGGGGAUGGAAUUCCGCGUGUAGCAGUGAAAUGCGUAAUAUGCGGAGGAACACCGAUGGCGAAGGCAAUCCCCUGGGCCUGUACUGACGCUCAUGCACGAAAGCGUGGGAGCAAACAGGAUUAAUACCCUGGUAGUCACGCCCUAAACGAUGUCAACUGGUUGUUGGGUCUUAACUGGACUCAUACCAAACUAACGCGUGAAGUUGACCGCCCGGGGGAUAACGGCCCAAGGU
rnacentral:rRNA from 1 species